UUUGUCCUCAUUCACUAAAACAAGAGAUAUUCCUGCUGGUUGCUUGUAUUUGUUUGGCUCUCUAAGCUCAUUGUUGAAGGAGUAAAGACCAUGUAUAGGGAAGUCAAUAUGACUUCAAAUAACCUAAAUUCAAAUUGCUCUCCCUGCAGAGUUGAGUACCCAGAGAGCUGAGAGGACUGGCUGCUUUCUGCUGCAAGUUACUAACUUGGCCCAAAAUGGGGACCUAUCAGUUACCAAUUACAAAGAUCUUACAGAUCAUCCUGGAAUUGACUGCUUAUGAUUGCUUUGGAAACCUCACCUCUUUUUGCAUCUGCACCACCAAGCAGUAACAGACUGAUGUUUUGGGGAAGUCUCACCCCCUUCACUCCAGAAAGAAAUCUGUUCCUGCCCACUGUCCUGCCAGAAGUCAAGCACACUCCAUGCCAAGGAGUAAAUUCUGAUAUUAUCAUACAGAGAGGGCUCACAGAAAGUGUGUCUGUAAUCCUUUAGCUCUCUGAAUUCUUCCCAGUUCACUGGGAAGGACAUGGAAGUACUUUCACAUUCCUGCUGCUGAAAAUGUUUUUUGUUCUUAUGCCCACACAUAUCUGGUAGAACCAUGUCUCUGCCUCCUUUGAAUGUUCUUUUAGCUAAUGUACUGCAUUAUGCAUAUUGUUGGAAAAGAAAAUGAAAAGCAGACUCCUCUUGAAUUCUAUCUGUAAUUCUCUGUUUUAAUUUGCACUGCUGACAAAAAGCACUCAAUAUGGGAAAUGAAUCUUUUCUCACUGGUUUUGCAUAUAAUCUGUUAUAUUAAAUUUUGAUUGAGGUUAUCUGUCUAA